UACGUAGGGAGCAAGCGUUGUUCGGAUUUACUGGGCGUAAAGGGCGCGUAGGCGGCGCGGUAAGUCACUUGUGAAAUCUCUGAGCUUAACUCAGAACGGCCAAGUGAUACUGCGGGGCUAGAGUGCAGAAGGGGCAACUGGAAUUCUCGGUGUAGCGGUGAAAUGCGUAGAUAUCGAGAGGAACACCUGCGGCGAAGGCGGGUUGCUGGGCUGACACUGACGCUGAGGCGCGAAAGCUAGGGGAGCGAACGGG
rnacentral:rRNA from 1 species